rnacentral:rRNA from 1 species
AUUGAACGCUGGCGGAAUGCUUUACACAUGCAAGUCGAACGGUAGAGGGGGCAACCCCUUGAGAGUGGCGAACGGGUGAGUAAUAUAUCGGAACGUGCCCAGUCGUGGGGAUAACGUAGCGAAAGUUACGCUAAUACCGCAUACGAUCUACGGAUGAAAGCGGGGGACUCGCAAGAGCCUCGCGCGAUUGGAGCGGCCGAUAUCAGAUUAGGUAGUUGGUGGGGUAAAGGCUCACCAAGCCAACGAUCUGUAGCUGGUCUGAGAGGACGACCAGCCACACUGGAACUGAGACACGGUCCAGACUCCUACGGGAGGCAGCAGUGGGGAAUUUUUGGACAAUGGACGCAAGCCUGAUCCAGCAAUGCCGCGUGCAGGAUGAAGGCCUU